GAUGAACGCUGACAGAAUGCUUAACACAUGCAAGUCGAUGGGGAAGUGGUGCUUGCACCAUGGCAACCAUGGCGGACGGGUGAGUAACGCGUAAGGGACUUACCUGCAGGACUGGGAUAACAGGGGGAAACUCCUGACAAGACCGGAUAAUGUCAUGGAGCUGCAUGGCUUUAUGAUGAAAGGAGACGCCUGCGGAGAGCCUUGCGUCCUAUUAGCUAGUUGGUGAGGUAAUGGCUCACCAAGGCGAAGAUAGGUAGCCGGCCUGAGAGGGUGGACGGCCACAAGGGGACUGAGAUACGGCCCUUACUCCUACGGGAGGCAGCAGUGGGGAAUAUUGGACAAUGGGGGCAACCCUGAUCCAGCAAUUCUGUGUGCACGAAGAAGGUUUUCGGGUUGUAAAGUGCUUUCAGCAGGGAAGAAGUAAGUGACGGUACCUGCAGAAGAAGCGACGGCUAAAUACGUG
rnacentral:rRNA from 1 species